CAGCCGCGCAGCGUGGCCGGGGAAGCUGGCCUCGCGCCGCGGUCCCCCUGAUGGGCCUGCGAGGAAGACGCUUUGAAAUAGAGCGGAGCUGGGAAAGCUCCUGCGAGGGACGACCGCCCCUUGAGGCUGGCCUCUUACCUAGCCUCUCAUCUGCGACCCCGAGGGUCACGUUUUCCGGAAGAUGCAAUCCUGCAUCCUUGAACCAGAAGACCUUGUUGGAGUCUGCAAACUGUGAUGCAGGGUGUGAGCACCGAGAAAAAGCAAAGAGAUCCCAGUCGGGACUUUGUUGGGCCCAAACCUCGUUCUGCGCACCAACAAAGAUCUGAUUAUGAUCUAUACAGACCUAAGAUUGCUCAUUUGUCCCGUCUUUUGGAGACUCUUUGGUGACCUUCAGUAAAUCGUGUCCUUCCUACCCUCAUUUAACUAACAUCAAGCCCCUGAGUUGCCUGUACAGAGGGAUGGCUUACAAUUACGCGCUUUUGUACCACACACUAAUACAAGGUCAGCUAGGUAAUGUAAUAUGUUCAGUGAAAGUUGAACGGUUAUCAGGACUUUAUGAGUUGGAGCACCUUCAUUAUGAUUUCUUCAUUAAUCUCAAGGCUUUAUUUAGCGCCUCUCUGCAAUACUUAAACAUAACCUUUGGGGUGAGAGGGAAAGGACAUUAAAAUACCUACAGAACUAUUUCUGGAAUCCUCCUUGUCCACACCCACCUCCCCACCCCUGAAUGUUCAUUUGAAUAGUGCUUUUUUGGCAAAACUCCAAACUCCCGAAUUACGCACUUGUGAUGACACUGAAUUAGAUUACUGUCUGCAAGGUUAAUAUACCCCUCAGGUACUAACCUUAGUAUAUCGUGAUGCCCGUUUGAAAUAGCUGAGGCUCAGAAGUUCAGAUGAAUUCAGACACGGGUAACUAAGAAAUGCAAGGAUGAGCCAACAGCUCCGCAAUAAGCUCCAUUCGAUUUCUCUGCUAAAAGAUAUAAAUUUUAAUAAGAUGACAGUGCAUAUUCUGAAUGCUAAUUGUAACAAAACAGUGAUAUAAGCUAGAGCAAGGGACACUUCUCUGGAGGACAGCCUUCUGGCAACUUCUAGCAACUGCAAUGGCAUCAAAUUCACAUGUUUAAAAAAAAAAAAAAA